AUGCCUUACCAAGUUAUCUGAGGAGCCUGGCAGUCCUGGUUCAGCCUGUCCUUGCUGUGAUGUUAUCGUUGUCAGGAUCUGGGAGAUGACCAUCUGGUGAAUGUGAGCUGUUGCUGCUUUCUGUGGAAUCGGGAAGAGCUUGGCCUUCUGUGUUAAUUGGCUGGGAUGAGAAUCAAAUUGAUAUCAGAUAGGUCUGGAGAGUCAAAGGUAAUGGCUCGUAACUGUAAACACAUUAUUUAGGAGGUAGAGGCAGGAGGAUUGUAGGUUCUAGGUCAUCCUGGGCCACAUGGUGAGUUCCAAGGUAGCCUGGGCUAUAUUAAAGAGUAUAUUAUAGUCGAAGAAAAUAGAAGACAGCAAAUAAAGAGCAGGAACUAGUGAAAACAUAGCUGGCAUUGCAAAGCCCACACCUGUGACCCCAGCCUUUAAAAGACAGAGGCAGGAGAAUUGUUGCAAGUUCAAGGCCAGUCUGGUCUUUAUAGUGAACUCCCGGGACCACACAGCAAGAGACAUUUUGUCAGGAGGAAGAGGAAGAAAUUAACAAAAUACAAAAUAACUGUAUAGUUCCUAAGAUGGACAAAGCUGUUUGUUUUGAUAUCAAAGAUUUUUAAAAGCCUGGUCUGUAAUACUAAGCUAUUCAGGAGGCUAAGACAGGAGGAUCACAAGUUCAAGGCCUGUCCAGUCAACUUAGUGAAAAAUCUAUCUGUGGGAGUGGGAUGGGAUGGGGGAUGGGGUGAAGUGAAGGGUAAGGGGAGACAGCUCAAUACCAAAAACUCUUGCUUAACAUUAGUGUGAGGCCCCACAUUUUAUCUCCAGUAUUCCCAAAGAAGUCAUGUUUGUACAUGUGGGGAUGGGGGUAAUUAUUAUCUUGCCCAGGCUACUCUGGAAUUUAUAGUUUCUGCAGAGUGUAUCCCAUGACAGAUGUAUGACACUCUACCUGAUAAGAAGCUGGCUUUUGUGGACCAAUGAGAUGACACUGCCAAGCCUGAGAACAGGAGUUUUAGCCCCUGGACCCACAAGGUGGAGGAGAGAACCAAAUCCUGCCGGUGGUCUUCUGACCUCCACACACAGCCAUGUUGUGAGUAUAUGGAUGCACGUGCAUGUGCACGCGCACGCGAACACACAUACAAAUAACCACACAAAUGUCAUACUAUCUAUCUAUCUAUCUAUCUAUCUAUCUAUCUAUCUAUCUAUCUAUCUGGUUUUUCCAGACAGGAUUUCUUUGUGUAGCCCUGGCUGUCCUGGAACUCACUCUGUAUACCAGACUGGCCUUGAAUUUAGAAAUCUGCCUGCCUCUGCCUCCCAAGUGCUGGGAUUAAAGGCUUGCACCACCACUGCCCAGCUACUUUUUAUUUUUAAAAUUGUACUUAUUGUAUUCAUUUAUUUGAGAUAGGGUCUCACUGUGUAGCCUUGCUGGCAUGGAGCUCACUAUGUAAACCAGUCUGGCCAAGAAUUCUGUCUUUUUCUCCCCAGUGCUGGAAUUAAAAGCAUGUUCCAACACACCUGGCUAAAACCAUUUUUUUUUUUACUUUUAAAAAAUUAAUUAGUUAAUUAAUUAAUUAAUUUUAGGUCUUACAGCUCAGGCUAGCUCAAACUGGCUAUGCAGCAAAAGUAACCUUGAACUCCUGAUUCUCCUGGCUCCAUUCCUGGAGUGCUGGGAUUAUAGGCCAAUGCUGCCAGACCCAGGUUUAUGUGGGUUGAAGAUCAAAUCCAGGGCUUCCUGCACAUUAGGCAAGCAUUCUACCAACUGAGUUUCCUCCCUCUUUCUUUUCUUUUCUUUCUUUCUUUCUUUCUUUCUUUCUUUCUUUCUUUCUUUCCUUUCUUUCCUUUCUUUCCUUUCUUUUCUCUCUCUCUCUCUCUCUCUUUCUCUCUCUCUCUCUCUCUCUCUUUGUUUUUUGUUUUUUUUGAGACAGGAUUUUUCUGUGUAACCCUGGCUGUCCAGGAACUCACUCUGUAGACCAGGCUGGCCUCGAACUCAGAAAUCCACCUGCCUCUGCCUCCCAAGUGCUGGGAUUAAAGGCACAAAUCACCACUGCCCGGCAAGACAGAAGACGGUCUUUCUAUGUAGCCCAAGAUAGUCUGUUUAUUCUGUACCCAGGCUAGCCUUAAAUCCUCUUGCCUGAACCUUCCAAAUGCUGGGAUUAUAGCCAUGAACCACAGUGUGUGUGUGUGUGUGUGUAACAAGUGUGAACGGGUGUCCAUGAAAGCCAGAAGAGGAUGUUGGAUCCCCUUGGACUGAAAUCACCUGGUUUUUUUUUUUUUUUUUGAAACAGGGUAUAGCACAGGCUAAUUAGAACUUGCUAUGUAGCAGUGGCUGGCCCUGAAUUCCUAAUCCCUUUACUCCCUCAUCUCUGGAGUGUUUCAAUUACAAUGCAUAUGCCACUGUGCCAGGCUGGCUUCAGACUUGUGAUCAUCCUGCCUCAGCUUCUGAAAUUACCAGAAUGCACUGCUGUGCCUGGCCUACGACGGAUAUUUUAAAGGAUCCAGAUGAUGAGUCUGGAAGGACGUUAAUUCUGGACUUUCAGAUCCUGUGUACUUAGACUGUGUUCAACAGCCUGGAUGCUCUCCUGCUUCAGCCUGCUUUUGCCAGGCAACUUUGGCACACAGGCAUGGUUGGUGGUUUAAGUGAAAAAUGUUGCCUAUAAUCUUGGACAUUUGAAUGCUUGGUCCCUAGUUGGUUGCACUGUUUGGGAAGGUUUCAUUGGUAGACCCAUGCUAGAGAAAAUAGGUUAUUGGGAGUGAGUUUUGGGAUUUAAAAGCCGCACCCACUUCCAGUUUGUUGUCUCUGCUUCUUGCUUGUGGUUGGGGAUUUGAUCCUGUUUCAGGUCACCAGGGCUGCCAGUUGCCGUGCCUUCCUUCAGUGAGAGUAAUGGACCUUUAGCCCUGUGGAACCAUCAAUCCAAAUAAAGUCUUGCUUCUG
rnacentral:lncRNA from 1 species